UCCAAGUCACCCAGUGAGCUUCAUAGCCAGGUGGUAACUGGAAACAGAAUCCUCCAAGUCACAGUCCAACUCUCUAACCACUACACAAUAUAUUCCCUCACAAAAACCACUUUCAUCUCUUAUUUAUAACUGAAUGCAUUUGGUAUUGCAUCGUGUUGGGCCUCCAUAAUCCUAGGCCGAGUUCAGACACAACAAUCUUAGACUGAUGAAGUAUUAUUUCUGUUAGCCUUCCCCAAUGUGUUGUCUUUCAGAUGUACUGGACUACAAGAUUCAGCAUCCCUGACAGUUGGCCAUAUUGACUGGGGUUGAUGGGAGCAGACAUUUUAAAAAUCCUGAAGGCACUCUGCCAAGGAAUGUUUGAAAUCAAGGAAUGCUGUGGUCUUUCUCAUUCCUCUCCUCCUCAUACACCCAGCUUCACCAUUUGUUUUCUGCCUUGCUAAACCAGUUCUCUGUGAUGUCUGAACUGGGAAGCUGUGAUUUAAGGACUGCUUUACAAGCAUGAUCAGAAACGACAAUGGUUGAUCACCUGAGACUGUUAUGUUUGAGCCAGGCCAAGUACUUUCAAUGGCAGUGCCGAAGACAAAGUGACAUCCUGGCCUGGAGAGCAAAGGGAGUGGCAGUGUGGAAAUUAUUAUGAACUAAGCAAGCUGAUCCUGAUUCAUUUGCAGGUAUCAGCCCAUGUUCAUGUUAUGCGACUGAUACCAUAUUCAACUGCCUGAAAAAUGCCUAUGGAUUGAAAUUGCGCUGCUUCCAAGCUUGUAACUGCAGAAUAUUUACCACCCACUGGAAGGGCUACUUUGGGAAUGUGGACACUGCCAAGAAGGAAGACAAAGAUAAGAUAGAGCCCUAGCUACUUGAUUGGAUCUAUUUCAACUGAAAUGUUCUACAUCUGCACAAAAAAUGGUGUAACCCAACAGAAAAUGUGGGUGAGCCAGAAAGAGAAAGUUGGAAGCCAAUGAUGCUCCAGGUGUUGGACUGCAAUUCUCAUCAUCCCUGGCCAUCAGCUGUACUGAGUCCACAACUACAGGUUCCCUACCAUCACGGUUUCUGAUUGACGCCUUUAACUGGCCAUAUUAGAAUACAGGCAAAUAACCAGCAGAGGGCAACAGGCAACUGCAUUUGAAACAUCUAAUCCACUUGGCAUUUAGCAUCAUUCUAUUAAACUCAAGGUCUUUCAUUUGGUCAGAAGUCCUCUCUCUCCCUGCAGCCAGUCUAUAACCACUUCCAUGGGAAAGGUCUGGAGAGAAAAUUUACACUGCAGUCCUAUAGCUCUCACCUGGGAAGCCCCAUCACUGAAAUCACUGCGACGUAUGCGUUAUGAUGAUAUACACACAAUUUAUCUGCUUUACCUCACCUCUGUAGAUCUGACAGUGCCAACUGAUGGUUCCAGGAGCUAUUGCAGAAUGAUGUAAUAAUUAGGGAAUUGCUAAGUGUGCCCUAUCUCUAGAUCAGGGGUUCCCAACCUGGGGCACCCACAUCCCCAGUGGGAGUGUGGUGGUAUUUUUGGGGUGGGGGGUGAAAAUAGGAAGGCUGCAUUUUGCUUUACCAAAAUGGGCAAAUGGCACAUUUUCACCAAACAUUAUUCCAAUAAUAAAAUUAUUUUGUUCGCA